ACACGUGAAACACCCUGUAUACGCUGGCGGGCGGGCGGUCGUUCGGCCGGGCGGUCCGUCGAUAGGUCUGAUGGUUGGGGGGAGGGAAAUCUGGUCAUUGCGCAUGCGUGCCGGUAAAAAGCCCUGUGGGAGCGCCGCCGCCGCGCGCGCGCGCACGAGUGUAUAAGUGUGUAUGUGUGUGUGUGUUUGUGCGUGCGUGCGUGUGUGUGUGUGUAUCAGUCGACAGAUACACCUUCUUUUAAAAUCGCGGCAGACGCACCGACGAAAAGCACACACACGGCGGCGGCUCGAGUCAUCGGUCGUGUUCGGUUUUUCAUCUCUCUCUCAUAUCUUCUCCUUUUUUAGUUCCUUGACCGGCCGCGAUUAGUGUCGUCCCUGCAGCAAAUAUUAUUAUUAUUAUUAUAAAUAUCGACACACAUAUAUAUAUAUAUAUAUACCACUUCAACAUUAUCAUUAUUAUAUUAUCAUCUUCCGUCGUCGUCGGUGCACUGUGCAGUCCGCGCUCUCGUGUGUGUGUGUGAGUGUGUAUUUUUUCCCGGGCUUUUAAACCGGGCCAUUAUAAAUACGGGGUGCACGCGCUCAACAGCAUUCAGUAUCCGACCGGCUUUUCAUCCGACGACACUUCAGCGGCUCUUUGCUUUUUUCUAUUAUCAAUUUAUACCGACCGUGUUCUGCAGCAGCUCGUGUAUACUCCGAUAUUAACGAAAGAUAUCGCCGCCGUCGAAGUGUUUAAAGUUUUUAUAAAAUUUUUUUUUUUUGGAAAAUUUUUUGAAAAUUUUCUUCGCCGCCGCAGCAACGAUGGGUUUGGAUCCGACUGGACUGUACUGAGUACACUUAACGUUCUACACGACAAUCUAUCCGUCACGAUCGCACCCAACGGUUUUGGGCACAACAUUCAAAAAGGAAUCGAGAAUUUUUCUCAAAAUUCAAUCUCAACUUUCGUAUUUCGAAACCAAUCUACGGCAAAAAUAAACAUUAUGUGCGGAGGAGGACCAAAACUCGACCCAACUGGCCUCUACUAACCAGUGUAGAUGCACUUCACAAUCAACAGACCAACACAAUUCAACAUUAUGUUUAAAUCAGGUUUACAAAAAAACAAGAAUUCCAAGAUCAUGGCUCUUAAAGUCAGCACCUUCUACCACGGCACAAUUAGGCAUCUGUACUGGCCUCAAACAACAGUUCGCUGGAAUCAAGAUUUUGUAUGAAGACAAUAAAUUCUGUUCAAUUUCCUCAUAUAAGACUCGAGGAGGACGAUGAAUGAUGAUAUUCACCACAGAAUAUUAUUAUUAUUAUCAUUAUUAUUUUUUGACUAUUUAAAAUCUCAAAAUAGUUUUAUUGUUAAAUUUGUCUGUUUUUAAGAUUUUCGUUUCCUCCUCGCUUUUUUUAUUAUUAUCAUCUGGGUUCACAUUAGUUUCAUUGGGAAUAUGGACAUCUGUAUUAGUUAGCUGAUCAUAGUCCCCGUGGAAUAGGGUUUGUGUAUUUAUUUAUUUAUUUUUAUUAUUAUUACGAAUACGUUCCAAGCUUGAAAAAUAUUUUUCAAAUCUUUCUUAAAUCACAUUGGAUUUUAAUUAAAAUAAUGUUGCUUAUUGUUAAUUAUUUAAACAUUAACAAUAUAUUAAUUUCAGUCACAUGUUAUUUUUGAACGAUAAUUAUUAUUAUUUUUAUUAUUAUACUAUCAUUAUUAUUUUUUUUUUUUAUAUAAUGGAAUUGAACUUAUAUUGUAUUCAUCAAAAUGAUUAACAACAAACAUUAGAACACUAUGAAACAAAAAAAAAAAAAAAUCACGUGUAUUAAUACGUAGGCUUAAAAGACUGACUUAACUCUGGACUUCUAUAAAAUAAAGUGUUUGUUUUCCAAUUCUAAUAAUGUAUAGUCUCAGGAACUAUGUUUUUUUUCUAUUUUUAUAAUAUUAAUCUUCUCCGUAUUUAUUUAUUUUUGUACAUAAAAACAUGAAAUAAAAGUGUUUUAAAGAUUA